GCCUGGCUAGCUCAGUUGGUAGAGCAUGUGACUCUUGAUCUUGGUAUUGUGAGUUCGAGCACACAUUAGGUA
rnacentral:tRNA from 1 species